rnacentral:rRNA from 1 species
GACGGAGGGGGCAAGCGUUGUCCGGAAUCACUGGGCGUAAAGCGCGCGUAGGUGGCACAGUGCGUCGGUGCUGAAAGCGCCGGGCUUAACCCGGCGAGGUGCGUCGAUACGACUGGGCUCGAGGCCAGCAGAGGGUGGCGGAAUUCCGGGUGUAGUGGUGAAAUGCGUAGAUAUCUGGAGGAACACCGGUGGCGAAGGCGGCAUCCUGGACCGGCAGUUGACGCGUGAGGCGCGAAAGCCAGGGGAGCAAAGCGGG